UGGUACGGUCCCCCUGCCAGUCACGUCCUCCUCCGGGAGGACCAGGGAACCCGGUGCGACUCCGGGACUGACGCGCAGCGGUGUGGGUGACGGGCGGGACACGUCGUGCGCGUGCGCACGGCAACCACUGGGCCCCGGCCCGGGAAGGCGUCCUGGCCCGGUCGACCCCGAGUCCGAAGACCUGCUGGCCCUCACGGCACCCG
rnacentral:ncRNA from 2 species